rnacentral:rRNA from 1 species
UAGCGUAGGGUCCGAGCGUUGUCCGGAAUUGAUUGGCGUAAAGGGCUCGUAGGCGGUUCGUCACGUCGGGAGUGAAAACUCGGGGCUUAACCCCAAGCCUGCUUCCGAUACGGGCAGACUAGAGGUAGGCAGGGGAGAGCGGAACUCCUGGUGUAGCGGUGGAAUGCGCAGAUAUCAGGAAGAACACCGGUGGCGAAGGCGGCUCUCUGGGCCUUACCUGACGCUGAGGAGCGAAAGCGUGGGUAGCGAACAGG